GAAUUACUCCCUCCGUUUGGAAUUACUUGUCACAAAAAUGGAUGUAUCUACAACUAAAAUACAUCUAGAUACAUUCAUUUCUUCGACAAGUAAUUCCGAACGGAGGGAGUACAAU
rnacentral:pre_miRNA from 1 species